rnacentral:rRNA from 1 species
AGGUGCUGCAUGGCUGUCGUCAGCUCGUGUCGUGAGAUGUUGGGUUAAGUCCCGCAACGAGCGCAACCUUGCAUUAGUUGCCAUCAUUUGGGUUGGGCACUCUAAUGAGACUGCCGGUGACAACCGGAGGAAGGUGGGAUGACGUCAAGUCCUCAUCGGCCCUUAUGGGUAGGGCUUCACACGUCAUACAAUGGUCGGUACAGGAGGGUUGCCAACCCGCGAGGGGGAGCUAAUCCCACAAAGCCGAUCGUAGUCCGGAUCGCAGUCUGCAACUCGACUGCGUGAAGUCGGAAUCGCUAGUAAUCGUGGAUCAGCAUGUCACGGUGAAUAUGUCCCUGCUCCUU